UCUUUGAACAAACAAUACCAAUGAAUAUUAUUUCUUUGUAAAACGACCUCAAAUUACAUUAUUUCUAAGUCAUUUUAUGAUCACCGCCAAAUUGUUGUUGCGAGAGGUCUGAAGAAAUGCCAUUAGCUGGGAUGAGAACUUACCUGAAGUGUUGUAUGGCAAAUGGAAUCAUUGGCGAGAUGAGUUAAAGAAUGUGGCUCAAGUGAGUCUCCCUAGACAUUACUUCCGGAUUGGUUUUCCAGAAUCGGAAUCCAGCGAGGACGCCUUUGGUGUCAUGUCUUAUUGGAGGCCGUUAAUGCCAAAUGGUAAAAUUUAGGCUGCAGUAUUGGAAACCCGUUUGCUGUGUAACAUAGAAAAUGAUCUUCGUCAGAAGCUUGACGAGGGUCGCCACUUCCACAUGAAAAUGUGGUUACAACAACAUUCCUUUAAGGUUUGCCGAAGGGUAUGUUGAAUCGAUUCAACAACUGUCAUUAAGUGGAUUAAUUCGGACUACAGAAGGUAUAAAUCGUUCGUAGCCCAAAGAAUUGCCGAGAUAUUGGACUCGACUCGUCCCGCUGAUUGAAAUGGUUGUCUACGAAUUUGAAUGUAACGGACGAAACAACAAGAGCAAAGAGAAACACGAAUUUUUGCUUCAAUUCUCGUUGGCACCAAGGAAUACAAUUUUUGCAUGAGCCUGAAGGUAAUUGGCCUAAAAUGGUUUCCGCCCGGAAUGAUGCAAUUUGUGAAGAGGAGCUUUGCCCGAAAUUGUUAGCGUUUGGCAAACGGCGUUACCACCUCAUGGCGAACAAAAAGACUUGCAUUGGAAACAUUUUUUGCUUUUUAUUUUUGUACUUCACGGCUUGUCUAUCCAUCUAUACAGCAUGUAUUAUGGUUAUUUAUUUUUGAUUUUUCAUAUAAUUAUUGAUUUUAAUAUAAUCUCGCGACUUUUCCUGACUUCAUUUUACUUGUUGGUCUGAAUUGCGCUUUCGUCUCGGGGAUAGGAAGCUUUCCUAGGGUCAAAAUUCAAUACUUCUGUAAAAAUCGCAAGACAGGAUGCGCCCAUUUCAAAUGUAUUUUGGUAAAUAUUUACACAAAUGUCAAUAUACAUACAUAAAUAAUUUUGGCACACAUCGAAAAGAAAAAAAAAAGUUAAAAAGGCACAGCGCAGUGAGUAAAGCAGAAUACCCGAAGCAAACAAAGAAACAAAGGGUCGACAAUGCAAUGGUCUCUGCGCUGCAGAAGCGUCGUCGCAACCGAGACAGGCACACCCAAAAUUAACUAAUCAACAGGAAUAUUAAAUAAAGUAGAAGGAGGAUCUAUUUCGAAAAUCGUCUAUUUUUGGAAACCUAAUUCUAUUUAAUACGACAGUAAUUGAACCAAACCAAUGGUUUUAUUUAAGUGGAAUGUUCAUUUUUUUACAUUUAGAAACGGACAUAACUAUAUGUAAAUAUAUAUAUUUAUACCUAUAUAAAUAUGCAUAUGUAAAUAUUUAGU